GAGAAAAGAACAACAGGGAUUGCCCUAGUAACGGCGAGUGAAGCGGCAACAGCUCAAAUUUGAAAUCUGGCUUCGGCCCGAGUUGUAAUUUGCAGAGGAAGCUUUAGGCGCGGCACCAACUGAGUCCCCUGGAACGGGGCGCCACAGAGGGUGAGAGCCCCGUAUAGUUGGACGCCUAGCCUGUGUAAAGCUCCUUCGACGAGUCGAGUAGUUUGGGAAUGCUGCUCAAAAUGGGAGGUAAAUUUCUUCUAAAGCUAAAUACCGGCCAGAGACCGAUAGCGCACAAGUAGAGUGAUCGAAAGAUGAAAAGCACUUUGAAAAGAGGGUUAAAUAGCACGUGAAAUUGUUGAAAGGGAAGCGCUUGUGACCAGACUUGCGCCCGGCUGAUCAUCCGGUGUUCUCACCGGUGCACUCUGCCGGGCUCAGGCCAGCAUCGGUUCUCGCGGGGGGAUAAAGGUCCUGGGAACGUAGCUCCUCCGGGAGUGUUAUAGCCCAGGGCGUCAUGCCCUCGCGGGGACCGAGGUUCGCGCAUCUGCAAGGAUGCUGGCGUAAUGGUCAUCAGCGACCCGUCUUGAAACACGGACCAAGGAGUCAAGGUUUUGCGCGAGUGUUUGGGUGUAAAACCCGCACGCGUAAUGAAAGUGAACGUAGGUGAGAGCUUCGGCGCAUCAUCGACCGAUCCUGAUGUUUUCGGAUGGAUUUGAGUAGGAGCGUUAAGCCUUGGACCCGAAAGAUGGUGAACUAUGCUUGGAUAGGGUGAAGCCAGAGGAAACUCUGGUGGAGGCUCGCAGCGGUUCUGACGUGCAAAUCGAUCGUCAAAUCUGAGCAUGGGGGCGAAAGACUAAUCGAACCAUCUAGUAGCUGGUUACCGCCGAAGUUUCCCUCAGGAUAGCAGUGUUGUUCUUCAGUUUUAUGAGGUAAAGCGAAUGAUUAGGGACUCGGGGGCGCUUUUUAGCCUUCAUCCAUUCUCAAACUUUAAAUAUGUAAGAAGCCCUUGUUACUUAAUUGAACGUGGGCAUUCGAAUGU
rnacentral:rRNA from 1 species